rnacentral:rRNA from 1 species
CGUAGGGGGCGAGCGUUGUCCGGAUUUAUUGGGCGUAAAGAGCUCGUAGGCGGUUCGAUAAGUCGGAUGUGAAAUCUCCACGCUCAACGUGGAGGGGCCAUUCGAUACUGUCGUGACUCGAGUCCGGUAGGGGAGUGUGGAAUUCCCGGUGUAGCGGUGAAAUGCGCAGAGAUCGGGAGGAACACCCGUAGCGAAGGCGGCACUCUGGGCCGGUACUGACGCUGAGGAGCGAAAGCGUGGGGAGCAAACAGGAUUAGAUACCCUGGUAGUCCACGCCGUAAACGUUGGGCACUAGGUGUAGGACUCUAUCGACGGGUUCCGUGCCGUAGCUAACGCAUUAAGUGCCCCGCCUGGGGAGUACGGCCGCAAGGCUA